rnacentral:rRNA from 1 species
UACAGAGGUGGCAAGCGUUGUUCGGAAUUACUGGGCGUAAAGGGCGCGUAGGCGGCCUUCUAAGUCAGACGUGAAAUCCCCCGGCUUAACCUGGGAACUGCGUCUGAUACUGGGAGGCUUGAGUAUGGGAGAGGGAUGUAGAAUUCCAGGUGUAGCGGUGAAAUGCGUAGAUAUCUGGAGGAAUACCGGUGGCGAAGGCGGGAUCCUGGGCCAGUACUGACGCUGAGGAGCGAAAGCGUGGGGAGCAAACAGG